ACAUUUAGACCAUAAUGGGAAUAUGGGAUGCAAGAUUAAUAGUUUAAUCUAUAAUGGGAUGAAAUAAGUUUACUAUAAUCCUUGUUUAAUGGUUGGAUUAGGAUCAAAGAUGAAAUUUGGAAGGUGAAUCAAAUAUUUUUAAUGUGGAGGUUUCAAUUCAAGGGGGUAUGCUUUAAUUUGUCAAUGUUUCCUCAAAUCUAUAAUAUAUAUAUAUAUAUAUAUAUAUAUAUAUAUAUAUAUAUAUAUAUAUAGAAAGGCUCCCGUAAGAACACUUUACUCGGUAAAAACACUUCUUACGAUAAGAACACUUUCUAAUAAUGACAUUUUUGUAAUUUUAAGAAACAAAUACCCCUAUUUUCUUAUAGUCACGCUAAUUUUUUUGAUCAUUUCAGAUUUUUUUCUCUCUCUACAAUUCCUCUCUCUCCCCAAAUCUAACCACCAACAGCCGGCGACUGCCGGUCGACGGUCGCCGGUCACCGCUCGCCGAUCUCCUGCCGUCGCUCGUACCUCGCGGUUGUGGCGGCGGUUGUUCUCUCUCUUCCCUUUUCGAACACCACCAACAUCCGGCCACCGCUCGUAGCCAUCACCAACAUCCGGCUCGCUGCCGCUCUCCGCCACUCUCUGAUCUCCACUUGUCGCCGAUCUCUGAUCUCCGAUCGCCGCCGUUCGCUGCUCGCUGCAAUUCUAAUCGCCGCCGCCAAUUCGAUUUAUCAAUCGAUUUUCCGGAAAUUCUCGACCAAUUCGAAAUCGAUUUCUCAAUCGAUUGUUCGACCAAAAAUCGAACAAAUUCGCUGGUAAGCAAGUGAGGUAGGCAGCGAAGGAAUCGAAUCCUAGCUCCAGCGGUGGCGGCAGCGGUGUUGCUGGUGGCCGCGAAAUCGAACCAGAAAUCCAAGCAAUUUCAAUCGGUUUAGGGUUUAUCAUCAACUCGUCGAUCAGAACAAUUCGUGCGCAGAUUGCGAAGGGCUCUACUUGGAAAGAUGUGAAAUCAUCGAAAAUCACUGCUCGCGUCAAGCUAGAAGCGGUGGAGUACGAGAUGUGCUUUAGGAUGCAGAAUAGUAAUUGUUUUGAUUGUAACAGUUAUGUAUUUUCUUUGAAUCUGUGGUAUGCAGAUACUUUUUAUCAUUGUAGAUGCCGUAUGGCUUAUUAUUAAUGGAUAUUGUUCUUCCCCGUCAAAAAAAAAACAAUCUUUGUGCUUUUCCAUUAUUGGUUCAUUUUGAUAAAUAAAACAAUCUUAUUGGUUGUUGUAAUGAUUAGUGGAUUGAGUUUUACUUGGGUUUUUUUUUAAUAAAAAAGAAAA